UCGAGAAUCUUCGGCAAUGGGCGCAAGCCUGACCGAGCGACGCCGCGUGCGGGAUGAAGGCCUUCGGGUUGUAAACCGCUGUCGGAGGGGAGGAAAUCCAUGGUGGCUAUCCAUUGUGGUUGACCUAUCCUCGGAGGAAGUACGGGCUAAGUUCGUGCCAGCAGCCGCGGUAACACGAACCGUACGAACGUUAUUCGGAAUCACUGGGCUUAAAGAGUACGUAGGCGGCCGCGCAAGUUGGGUGUGAAAUCCCUCGGCUCAACCGAGGAACUGCGCUCAAAACUGCGUGGCUUGAGGAAGACAGGGGUGAGUGGAACUAAUGGUGGAGCGGUGAAAUGCGUUGAUAUCAUUAGGAACACCAGUGGCGAAGGCGACUCACUGGGUCUUCUCUGACGCUGAGGUACGAAAGCCAGGGGAGCGAACG
rnacentral:rRNA from 1 species